UACGUAGGGGGCUAGCGUUGUCCGGAAUCAUUGGGCGUAAAGAGCGUGUAGGCGGCUCGGUAAGUCCGCUCUGAAAGCCCGGGGCUCAACCCCGGGAGGCGGGCGGAUACUGUCGAGCUAGAGUCCGGAAGAGGCGAGUGGAAUUCCUGGUGUAGCGGUGAAAUGCGCAGAUAUCAGGAGGAACACCAAUAGCGACGGCAGCUCGCUGGGACGGUACUGACGCUGAGACGCGAAAGCGUGGGGAGCAAACAGG
rnacentral:rRNA from 1 species